CCCUUAGAUGUUCUGGGCCGCACGCGCGCUACACUGACUGGUGCAACAAGUGUCGCUCCUUGGCCGAUAGGCCUGGGCAAUCUUUGAACGCCAGUCGUGAUGGGGAUAGAUUCUUGCAAUUUUUGAUCUUCAACGAGGAAUUCCUAGUAAACGCGAGUCAUCAACUCGCAUUGAUUACGUCCCUGCCCUUUGUACACACCGCCCGUCGCACCUACCGAUUGAAUGGUCCGGUGAACCCUCCGGAUCGGCCCGCGCCAACGCAAGUUGAGCAAAGGCCGAGAAGUUGGGUAAACCUUACCAUUUAGAGGAAGGUGGAGUCGUAACA
rnacentral:rRNA from 1 species